GCGGGAGUAGUUUAGUGGUAGAACGGUUCCUUCCCAAGGAACAGGUGGGAGUUCGAUUCUCCUCUCUCGCU
rnacentral:tRNA from 1 species